GUGGCGGAUAGGAACCAGUUAGUGCUUGUGCGUUGAUUGGGCCGAAAACCGCCAACACUAUAUGUUCACACUAAAGGUCGUAUGUGUCCUCUCCUCUGAGACACGUAUAUCACCAUUGUGCACGACGUUC
rnacentral:snoRNA from 1 species